rnacentral:rRNA from 1 species
GACAUAGGUGGCGAACGUUAUCCGGAUUUAUUGGGCGUAAAGGAUGCGUAGGUGGUAGAAUAAGUUAUUGGUCGAAGUCAGGCUCAACUUGACGGAAGCUGGUAAAACUAUUUUGCUAGAGGAUAGGAGAGGUUAGCGGAACUCUAUGAGUAAGGGUGAAAUGCGCAGAUAUCGGGAAGAACACCCGUGGCGAAGGCGGCUCUCUGGGACGGUACUGACGCUGAGACGCGAAAGCGUGGGGAGCGAACAGG